GAUGAAGAACGCAGCGAAAUGCGAUAAGUAAUGUGAAUUGCAGAAUUCAGUGAAUCAUCGAAUCUUUGAACGCACAUUGCGUCCGCCAGUAUUCUGGCGGGCAUGCCUGUUCGAGCGUCAUUUCAACCAUCAAGCCCCCGGCUUGUGUUGGGGACCUGCGGCUGCCGCAGGCCCUGAAAACCAGUGGCGGGCUCGCUGUCACACCGAGCGUAGUAGAUUUUCAUCUCGCUCAGGGCGUGCUGCGGGUUCCGGCCGUAAAAAGCCUUAUUUACCCAAGGUUGACCUCGGAUCAGGUAGGAAGACCCGCUGAACUUAAGCAUAUCAAUAAGCGGAGGA
rnacentral:misc_RNA from 1 species